CUUUCAUCAAGGUUAGUGUUUCUUUAGGUUGGGGGCUUUCAUCAAGGUGUUUCUUUAGGUUGGGGGCUUUCAUCAAGGUUAGUGUUUCUAUAGGUUGGGGGCUUUCAUCAAGGUUAGUGUUUCUUUAGGUUGGGGGCUUUCAUCAAGGUUAGUGUUUCUUUAGGUUGGGGGCUUUCAUCAAGGUUAGUGUUUCUUUAAGUUGGGGGCUUUCAUCAAGGUUAGUGUUUCUUUAAGUUCGGGGCUUUCAUCAAGGUUAGUGUUUCUGUAGGUUGGGGCUUUCAUCAAGGUUAGUGUUUCUGUAGGUUGGGGGCUUUCAUCAAGGUUAGUGUUUCUGUAGGUUAGGGGCUUUCAUCAAGGUUAGUGUUUCUUUAGGUUGGGGGCUUUCAACAAGGUUAGUGUUUCUUUAGGUUGGGGGCUUUCAACAAGGUUAGUGUUUCUUUAGGUUAGGGGCUUUCAUCAAGGUGUUUC
ensembl:lncRNA